rnacentral:rRNA from 1 species
UACAGAGGUGGCAAGCGUUGUUCGGAAUUACUGGGCGUAAAGGGCGCGUAGGCGGCGCGAGAAGUCGGGUGUGAAAGCCCCGGGCUCAACCUGGGAAUUGCAUUCGAGACUGAAUAGCUAGGGUACGGUAGAGGGAAGCGGAAUUUCCGGUGUAGCGGUGAAAUGCGUAGAUAUCAGGAGGAACACCAGUGGCGAAGGCGGUGCUCUGGGCCGGUACUGACGCUGAGGAGCGAAAGCGUGGGGAGCAAACAGG